AGUAGGUAGCUGAAAUUCAUUAUGAGUUUGUUCAAUUUGAACUUAGCUGACUAACKUUCUGUACUACUGACAUUCACUUCCAGUCAUUUCUGCUCCGGURCUGGACCCAUGAAUGUGUUUAUUUUCCACMGCUCAGAGUGGUUAUUACAUUGUCUUAACCUGUGUUUCUUUCCUACGGUAGUUAUGGGUACACUCAAAAUGGCUGCCAGACCACCCCAUUAUGUCAUCAUUGACUUGGAAUGGGGACUUCCGUUCUAUUCAUUCUAGUUCUAAGGUCAAUACUCCCAAAAGGCAGUCUGAAAAGUAGCUGAAUUUGUAGCUAGAUUUUACUGAUAAAAAUCACUGGAUGGGUCUGAUCUAAAUUGGCAAAUCUCUUCUGAUCUGAUACAGCUGUAUUGAUGUCAAAGUAAACUGGUCUGAUCUGAUACAGCUGUGUUGAUGUUUCUAUCAAAGUAAACUGGUCUGAUCUGAUACAGCUGUGUUGAUGUUUCUAUCAAAGUAAAAAUGUCAUGUGAUUGAUGACGUUUGAAGCUUUGGACGUCACACAGCCGUCUAAGACAGUACAGUAUUUAAGAUAGGCAGAAACUGCUUCUCCAAUAGAAAUCCCCGAUCACAGGUGUAGGCGAUGUCAUCAUGGCGAUGAAUCAUGUUUCACUCCUCUCAUUGACUUCUCAAACCCAAAUCCCUGGCCUGUUCUGAUUGGUCUAUUUUGCAAGUGUUCCAGGAAAUCCCAGGGUGUUGGAACUGCCUGCCAGAGAGCGCUGACCUCUGCUGUACGCUUUUUGUUUUUAACUACAUAUUUCACCUCUCAAAAAAGGCUAAAAAGGUCUUCAUUUCACUCUACUGGGGAACCUAGAGGCCAUAGAUUGCCCCAGGGGCUUCAAAGCCAAAGAGAGACGACAAUGUGUUGAUAUAGAUGAGUGUAAUGAGUGGGACAUUUCCCCACCCUGUGGAAGUAAUGCCACGUGUUACAACACACAGGGGAGCUUCUACUGUCACUGUCUACCUGGGUUCAAAUCCACAACAACUGUCAACUUUACUGCUCACACUGGAGAGUGUAAGGACCUCAAUGAGUGUCUGGAGAAACCACAGGUUUGUGGGAACAAUACCAUUUGCCUCAACACCAUCGGGAGCUUCAACUGCCAGUGUCGACCUGGGUUCAGAUCUAACUUAACAACGUCAUAGACACUGUGAGGAUGAGGAUGAGUGUGUGUGGGUUCCCCCGGUGUGCGGCGCUCUGGGCAUGUGCACAAAACACCUGGCCGAUACACCUGCACCUGUCCGUCAGGGCUCAGUAACCACGGCAACAACACCCCGCCCCUGCACAGACAUAGAUGAGUGUAAUGAGAUCGCUGGAGUCUGUGGAGUGGGCGGGGACUGCAGAACCAGAAAGGAAGCUACAGUUGCCUCUGUCAACCUUGGAUACAGUAACUACACAAACAAACAGGCUCAGUGCUCAGUACUGACCUGUGACCAGUUCAAAGCGAAUGAGACUCCUGGACAGGUGAGAUUUACAGUACCUGGACCUGAUGAGUCCUUAUACAGCAGCUGAACCGCUAGACAUAGAAUCUACAUUAUGGCAUCAUUGACUUGAAUGGGGAGGCCCAUUCUACUCAUUCUAGCUCUGUAGCUGAACCAUGUUUGCUUUGAAUGAUAUAGAUUAUUUACUGAAGGGUAAAUUUUCCUUCUUGCCACUCUCUCU